UAAGGGUUAGUUUAAAGAUAAUUAGAAUUAUUGAUUGUUGAUCAAAGGGUUUACUCUUAA
rnacentral:tRNA from 1 species